rnacentral:rRNA from 1 species
AGGUUCGAAAGCGUGGGUAGCAAACAGGAUUAGAUACCCUGGUAGUCCACGCCGUAAACGAUGUCUACUAGUCGUUGGGUCCCUUGAGGACUUAGUGACGCAGCUAACGCAAUAAGUAGACCGCCUGGGGAGUACGGCCGCAAGGUUAAAACUCAAAUGAAUUGACGGGGGCCCGCACAAGCGGUGGAGCAUGUGGUUUAAUUCGAUGCAACGCGAAGAACCUUACCUGGUCUUGACAUAUCUAGAAUCUUGUAGAGAUACGAGAGUGCCUUCGGGAAUUAGAAUACAGGUGCUGCAUGGCUGUCGUCAGCUCGUGUCGUGAGAUGUUGGGUUAAGUCCCGCAACGAGCGCAACCCUUGUCCUUAGUUACCAGCGGGUUAAGCCGGGAACUCUAAGGAUACUGCCAGUGACAAACUGGAGGAAGGCGGGGACGACGUCAAGUCAUCAUGGCCCUUACGACCAGGGCUACACACGUGCUACAAUGGUAGGUACAGAGGGCAGCUACACAGCGAUGUGAUGCGAAUCUUUCAAAGCCUAUCGUAGUCCAGAUUGGAGUCUGCAACUCGACUCCAUGAAGUAGGAAUCGCUAGUAAUCGCGGAUCAGAAUGCCGCGGUGAAUACGUUCCCGGGCCUUGCACACACCGCCCGUCACACCAUGGGAGUUGAUUGCACCAGAAGUGGUUAGCCUAACGUAAGAGGGCGAUCACCACGGUGUGGUUGAUGACUGGGGUGAAGUCGUAACAAGGUAGCCGUAGGGGAACCUGCGGCUGGAUCACC